GGGUUGCGCAGCUACACAUGCAGUCGAGCGGAACGAGUUAUCUGAACCUUCGGGGAACGAUAACGGCGUCGAGCGGCGGACGGGUGAGUAAUGCCUAGGAAAUUGCCCUGAUGUGGGGGAUAACCAUUGGAAACGAUGGCUAAUACCGCAUGAUGCCUACGGGCCAAAGAGGGGGACCUUCGGGCCUCUCGCGUCAGGAUAUGCCUAGGUGGGAUUAGCUAGUUGGUGAGGUAAGGGCUCACCAAGGCGACGAUCCCUAGCUGGUCUGAGAGGAUGAUCAGCCACACUGGAACUGAGACACGGUCCAGACUCCUACGGGAGGCAGCAGUGGGGAAUAUUGCACAAUGGGCGCAAGCCUGAUGCAGCCAUGCCGCGUGUGUGAAGAAGGCCUUCGGGUUGUAAAGCACUUUCAGUCGUGAGGAAGGUAGUGUAGUUAAUAGCUGCAUUAUUUGACGUUAGCGACAGAAGAAGCACCGGCUAACUCCGUGCCAGCAGCCGCGGUAAUACGGAGGGUGCGAGCGUUAAUCGGAAUUACUGGGCGUAAAGCGCAUGCAGGUGGUUUGUUAAGUCAGAUGUGAAAGCCCGGGGCUCAACCUCGGAAUAGCAUUUGAAACUGGCAGACUAGAGUACUGUAGAGGGGGGUAGAAUUUCAGGUGUAGCGGUGAAAUGCGUAGAGAUCUGAAGGAAUACCGGUGGCGAAGGCGGCCCCCUGGACAGAUACUGACACUCAGAUGCGAAAGCGUGGGGAGCAAACAGGAUUAGAUACCCUGGUAGUCCACGCCGUAAACGAUGUCUACUUGGAGGUUGUGGCCUUGAGCCGUGGCUUUCGGAGCUAACGCGUUAAGUAGACCGCCUGGGGAGUACGGUCGCAAGAUUAAAACUCAAAUGAAUUGACGGGGGCCCGCACAAGCGGUGGAGCAUGUGGUUUAUUCGAUGCAACGCGAAGAACCUUACCUACUCUUGACAUCCAGAGAACUUUCCAGAGAUGGAUUGGUGCCUUCGGG
rnacentral:rRNA from 1 species